GGAUUAGAUACCCUGGUAGUCCAUGCUGUCAACGAUGAGUGUUAAAUAUUGGAGUUUUUUCAGUGUUACAGCUAACGCAUUAAACACUCCGCCUGGGGAAUACGGCCGCAAGGUUAAAACUCAAAGGAAUUGACGGGGAUCUGCACAAGCGGUGGAGCAUGUGGUUUAAUUCGAUAAUACGCGCAGAACCUUACCAGUCCUUGACUUAUUAAAAUUGCUAAUUUAAGUGAUUAUAUUAUGUAUAUUUUAAGACAGGUGUUGCAUGGCUGUCGUCAGCUCGUGCCG
rnacentral:rRNA from 1 species